GGAGCGGUAGUUCAGUCGGUGAGAAUACCUGCCUGUCACGCAGGGGGGCGCGGGUUCGAGUCCCGUCCGUUCC
rnacentral:tRNA from 1 species